AAGCAGGGACUUGGGCAUCUCAGCCAUGGCCUGGGCUCCACUGCUCCUCACAGUCCUGGCUCACUGCACAGGGUCCUGGGCCCAGUUUGUGCUGAAUCAACCCCAGUCUGUGUCGGGAUCCCUGGGGCAGACGGUCUCCAUAUCCUGCAAUCGCGACAGUGGCAACAUUGAGGAGAAAUAUGUGCACUGGUACCAGCAGCACCCAGGCAAGGCCCCCACCACGGUCAUCUACAGUGAUGAUCAGAGACCGUCGGGGGUUCCUGAUCGGUUCUCUGGCUCCAUCAACAGCGCCUCCAACUCUGCCUCCCUGACCAUCACUGGGCUGCUGGCUGAGGACGAGGCUGACUACCACUGUCAGUCUUAUGAUAGCAGUGCUAAUCCCACAGUGCUCCAGACUCAUGGGGAAGUGAGACAGAAACUCCCCCAGGGUCCCCGCCCAGCUGUGCCCCAGCCUGUGCCCAGCAGGAGGUCGCUCUUUGCUCUGUGUAUUUUGUCCAUCGAGGUGAAGACAUUGUGGAACCAACUCCCCCAGAGCCAGCUCUGA